UACGUAUGGUGCAAGCGUUAUCCGGAUUUACUGGGUGUAAAGGGAGCGCAGGCGGCGCGUUAAGCCUGGUGUGAAAGCCCGCGGCCCAACCGCGGGACUGCAUUGGGAACUGGCGCGCUGGAGUGCCGGAGGGGUAGGCGGAAUUCCUAGUGUAGCGGUGAAAUGCGUAGAUAUUAGGAGGAACACCAGUGGCGAAGGCGGCCUACCGGACGGUGACUGACGCUGAGGCUCGAAAGCGUGGGGAGCAAACAGG
rnacentral:rRNA from 1 species